rnacentral:miRNA from 1 species
UUUAAAUGCCUUAAAUUCCCGA